UGUUCGAACAAGACUCGAACUCCCUAACGC
rnacentral:sRNA from 1 species